rnacentral:rRNA from 1 species
UACGGAGGAUCCAAGCGUUAUCCGGAAUCAUUGGGUUUAAAGGGUCCGUAGGCGGGCCUGUAAGUCAGUGGUGAAAUCUCCCCGCUCAACGGGGAAACGGCCAUUGAUACUGCAGGCCUUGAAUUAUUGGGAAGUAACUAGAAUAUGUAGUGUAGCGGUGAAAUGCUUAGAUAUUACAUGGAAUACCGAUUGCGAAGGCAGGUUACUAUCAAUAUAUUGACGCUGAUGGACGAAAGCGUGGGGAGCGAACAGG